CCCUUACUUUGCAGGGGGAAGCAUAUCGAGCUCACAAUAUCAUACCACUUAAUAUUAAGGAUAUAUUGGAUGCAGUUCACGAAAAAAUUCAAGAUAGAGGACACAGAAGCUCACAUGGUAUUCAUUUAAUUGCUUAUCAUACAAUUUAAAAAUGUAACAAAUUUUAGGUAACAUUUGUCGGCACUGUUGCAGAGAUUGAGUCCAAUCACACAAACAUUUCAUACACGCAAAUAGGAUUCCUACGACUUGGACUUCAUUCAAGUUUCAAACAUGAAUUUUUGCAGCAGCAUUGCUAGUGACACGCUCCAAGAAGACCACACACACGGCAGAAACUGACGAGAUCAUUGCACCCAAUAAAAAUGACUUAAGAAACCAAUAACAUUUGUACACAUAUGUUAUUUCCCUCGUUUUUUUUCCCAUUUGCUUUUUUGUAAGAUUGCCACUUGAUUUUCUGGUAUCACGUGCCCAAUGACUUUGGUUCCUUUUGAAGAUGAGCAAUUCUUCAUACAACUCGCAGUGGUUUUAAAUGAAGUAAACAUGUGGUGCUUUUGUCUUUGGUUUGGUUAGACGACACCAUCACGUUCUUCGUUACCGAAGAUCGAGGUGACAACUUGUACCAACUGAGCCACAAGGAGAUCAAAAUUGCCAAACAAGUUAUUGCGGAGACCUUCCGUCCAACUCACUCCAUCGAUGAACAUGCUGGCAC